AAAUUAACUAAAUCUAAACAUAACUUUAUUGUAUAUUUACGUUGAUUUGUAACGUGGCAACUUAUAGUAGUGCCGGCUUAAAACUAAAUGAAUUCAUUCUAACCUAAAGCUACGCUACUCUAAACAUACAUGCAAGAUAUAUGUACGAUCACAGAAGAUAGCAUAGACAGCGCCAAGCAUCGAUCUUUAUCAUUGACCCUUUGUACAAACUUACCGUGGACCCUGCACAGUGGGACUAAACGUAAGUAGUAAUGGUAAAAAAUUGUUUAACUCCGUUUGAUCUUUGAUGGUAACAUCGCCAUAUAAAAUUGUAGACUAAUUUAAGUAAAAUGCCAUUCCAGGAAUAUAAUAAUACUCCAAUUACGAACGUAAUACCCAUUGUCCCGGUUGUUCCUACCGGUAUUAUUAUUUCGGAAAUUAUCCCGUGCAAUUAGUUGGCAAAUCCCAACA